GGAAUGAAUAUAUACAUAUAUGUAUAUAUUAAUAAUGAAUAUAUAUACAUAAAUAUUUAAAUAUAUAUAUAUUUAAACUCUGCCAUAACUACCACCCUGGUGCAGACCCCUGCCAUUUUCACACUUACACAAUUGCAGUUACCUCCACAUUAAAUUUUCUUUGACUCCACAAACUCUUCUUAACAGAGCAACUAAAAUGAUUGUCUGAAAAAGGAAAUUGGAUUCUAUCAGCCAAUCCUCAGAAACUGCCAAUAGUUUCCAUCUCCAUCAGUGUGAAAUCUAAAGUCUAUGCCUUUCCUUUUCACACCUAUGUAUUUCUGGUCACCUUGCUUGUCUCCCAUAUCCUGGAAAUACUCCUGCUGCAGGACUUUUGGACAUAGAAAUACCUGUGACUUGCUCCCUCAUUUCACAUAUUUGUUUAAAUACUACUUUCACAAUGAAGUCUCGUCUAUCACCCUAGAAGAACUAGUUUAGAGUAACACAUCAAAUCAAACAAAGGACAUUCACCUGGAUAGUUAAAUAAUCCUGUAUGUGCCUAUUAAACAAAGCUCCAGACUUUGAAAAGGCAGGUGAUAUUUCUUAAGAUUCAAUUACCUAGAUAAGUGUUUGUCAUGUAGUUAAGUAUUCAAUAAAUCAACAAAUAUUUGGUGAUCAUAUAAAUGAACAAUUUACCUUAAAUUAAAUUAUAGACAAAUGUCAUUUUGUACUAUUAAUUAAACUGUGUUGGUAAGUGAUCUAAUAUUUUACAUUUUAAAUUCUUUUUUUUUCCAGCUAGCAAUGUUACCUACUUCCUUUGGACAGAAUGGCCAUUGUUCUCUCUGGGUUACCAAACACACAGCCCUAUUGGUGGAAUGUGGGUAAUAGGAAAAGUUAUCUAAGCAAGAGGAAAUUUUAUGUCAAGUAUGUGCAGCAUGAUUUCUUCAAGUGUAAGCUUGAAAUAUUUUUCCAAUUAUUUAUGACAAGUUGACCUAUGCUUUGGAAAAUAUCCUGUUUUUUAUAACAUCCAUUAAAGAGAAGGGUUCUCAAUGUAUGGCAGGAGAAAAUGUAAAUUGGAGCAAUCUUUCUGAAAUGCAUUUUGAAU
rnacentral:lncRNA from 1 species